rnacentral:rRNA from 1 species
AGAGUUUGAUCCUGGCUCAGAACGAACGCUGGCGGCGGGCCUCAUACAUGCAAGUCGAGCGCGAAAGUCCGCAAGGAUGAGUAAAGCGGCGCACGGGUGAGUAACACGUGGGUAAUCUACCCUUUGGAUUGGAAUAACCUGUCGAAAGACGGGCUAAUGCCGAGUGAGCUCUCGAAGAUGUGAAGUCUUUGAGAGGAAAGAUGGCGCAAGCUAUCGCCGAAGGAUGAGCCUGCGUCCCAUUAGCUAGUUGGUGAGGUAAUGGCUUACCAAGGCUAUGAUGGGUACCCGGUCUGAGAGGAUGACCGGGCACACUGGAACGGAAACACGGUCCAGACUCCUACGGGAGGCAGCAGUAGGGAAUAUUGCGCAAUGGACGAAAGUCUGACGCAGCCACGCCGCGUGAGUGAGGAAGGCCUUCGGGUUGUAAAGCUCUGUCAUCUGGGAAAAACGGCUAUCCGGGGAAAGUUCGGGUAGCGUGAUGGUACCAGAGGAGGAAGCACCGGCAAACUCUGUGCCAGCAGCCGCGGUAAUACAGAGGGUGCAAGCGUUGUUCGGAAUUACUGGGCGUAAAGCGUGCGUAGUCGGUAUUGAGAGUCACGGGUGAAAUCCCAGGGCUUAACCCUGGAACUGCCUGUGAGGCCUCAGUACUAGAGUGUGAGAGGGGAUAGUGGAAUACCCAGUGUAGCGGUGAAAUGCGUAGAGAUUGGGUAGAACACCGGUGGCGAAGGCGGCUAUCUGGCUCACAACUGACGAUCAGGCACGAAAGCGUGGGGAGCAAACAGGAUUAGAUACCCUAGUAGUCC